GAGCUUGUGGGCUUUCUUCUGUUUGGAUGCUCUUGUUGCAGGUGCUUUUCAGGGAAAUCAGUGCCCAUCAAUUGAAUAAAUCCUCAGAGGAAGGAGAGUAAAAGGAACUAAAAGCUUCUUACAAAGCUCCUGAAGUUUGGCAACACUCGCAGAUGUCAUUGCCUGUCAGGAAGAUCUCUUCAUUUCCCAUCCCCUGCAGUGGGAGCUGCCUGUCAAGUGUCUCUUCUCCACAGUUUCAUGUUUCUGGGAUCCUGAGGAGAGCAGAAGGUAAGAGUCCAUGAGAUGUGCUGGAAGGACAAAUCUCUUCAUGGGUGAAUUGGGAUUGGGGUGAAAUGAGGUGAAACGGCAGGAGUGGGACUGGAGGUGCAGCAUGAACACCGUGAGCACUUUCCUGUCCAGGAGGACAAGGCUGAGCAGCGUGGAGAUGGGAGAUGGAUGGAG